AACUACCAAAAAAAAAGAAAAUAUAACACGUAAUACUUAUCAGAGCUGACACGGCUGACGUAACGACUGACCAAGAGGUUAACGCGGUGGACGGGAGUGGCUGGGACCUGCUUGUUCUGUGUGUCCAGCAGGGUCCCCAGACCUUCGAUGGAGAUGAUACAGACUAAUAACAUUUACAUCAGAACACAGAAUUGCCAAUUUUGGUUAAUGUUCUCAAAAAGUCAAUAUGUACCAUGUUCUUGACUUAGUCACUGCUGUUGUUUAGGGUGUCAUUGCGUGGCUAAAUGUACAAUUUUCUGUAAUGCGUAUAUGUAAAAAAAUUUAAAACCCAAAGGGUGUAGAAUGAGCCCUUUGUGAAAACUUCACACUUCCCAGCUUCUGCAUAACUUUGUAACCUUAUGAGCCUUAACAGAUUCCAGCAUUUCACUCUGAAAGAAUAAUUAGAUUAUGAAAAAUAAAUUUUCUCUGAUUUUUAUGUGUUUUUGACAGAUGCACAUCACUCGAGAGUCACGCAGCGUACAGUUUAUGUGCCAUAGCGCUUGCUCAGUCCUGGGACACAGGAUGGAUUUAGACCUUUGAGAAGGUGCCUAUACGAUGGGCUGAAUCAAUUGUGCUCUAUCUGUUGCUCUUUCAGCAAAGGAAGCCCCCUUCAAACUGUGGUCCAGGUAUCCAAUGAAGUUCCAUGUGGGUACAUCCCUUCACCAUGUAACCUUCACUGACCAUUGCUUUCAGGACAGGAUUUCACAAGAAGAAUGGUGUAGAAAGCAACUUGAGGAGCUUGGAAUGCAGACAAAUCCAAAAUCACUCCAGUGGAAACUCUAGCGGUGACAACGGCUUCAGGAAUGGUACACUUGAAGUGAAAGCUGAGCUGUUAGUAGCAACCCUUGAAUAUCUAUCUACAAGUAUGACCCAAAGGGAAGAGUAAACAAAUAGUUGAUGUAACUUUGGAACAGUGAGAUGCUUCUGUAUCACUUCAAAUAUGAACUGAUGAAGGAGGAUAUUAAUUGGUUUGAUGAACCCUACAAGCUGUAUGUUCGCCUCGUCCUUUGGCAGAUAAUAUUUACCAAAGAAAUUCAGUUGACUUUGAAGGGGCUUGGCUGUUCUGGGAUGAGAACCGCAUUAUUUUUUUUAAAGGCUUCCACAACAAAAUGGAGCAGGUGAAUGAAAGUAUGGAUCAUAGCUGCUAUACUGUAAUUCUGUAGGUAACACUUUCUAGUGGAGGCGAGCAUCAUUAACACACUCUUUGCCUCCUUAGCAGGUUUAAGAUUUUUUUUUUACUUUCGCCUCCUGAAGGGAAGAGGUACCAAUGAUGUAAUUACAAAAGGAUGAUAGUUUCUGCAGGAAUCAUCACUGAUGAUAUCUCCUGGGUCUCAGUGCAUCAUACUGACCAAUACCACGCCUCUUUGAUAUUAUUGCUAGUUGGUAUUCCCCCAUACUGAACUUCACAUACAUACGGCCAGAG